ACCAAGAGUCAAACGCUUAACCAACUGAGCCGUGCAGGCGCCCCUUUAUUUCCUAAACAGAAAGGGAUUUGAAUUUCUGAAACCCCAAUAAUGGUGAUCUUAGAGAAGAUCCAUCACUACCUUCCAUUACUGAGCCUCUCAGGCCUCAUUCCACUUCCAGUCCGGCUGGGUGCUCAGACUCCAGAUCGUCCCUCUCCUCCUCACCUCCACCCCCAUUCCUACCAGAGCCAAAUCUCAGGGGUUCCCCAACAGCCCAUCCUGAAGACCUCCUCGCCCUGCCUCCACCUCCUCCAAUGCAUCCAGCCUACUGUUGUACCAUUGUCUUCCUCUGGGUGCAACUUCCUAACAGUGCUCUUCCAAAACUUGAGCAGCAGAAGAGUUCCUAGACACCAUGGCCCAAAUUCAGCCUGGCAUUGAAUCUGGAAGAAGCAUUUACAGGAGGUGUACUAGGUCACACAGCUGGUAGCUUUCUGCCUCUGUUGUUGUUAUAAAGGAAAGCAGAAGUCUGUACCAAGGUAUGAUGGAUCAUAAUAUACUAUUCACACAUGCAGUUUCGUGAGAAAUCUAGGCUGGAACUUGCUUUGUUCAUCCUUAUCUCCCUCCCUUGCUUAAUUAAACCGUCAUCAUGCCCAGAAUCCCCCCACCGCCAGCUUGCAUGUCCUACAGCAUUGUGCCAGCUGGUGCCAAAUUGUGGUCCUUUCCACAGUCCAGCUCAGGCCUCCCUCUAGACUCAGUCCUCCCUCUCAACCCUCAAAGGACACAUCAUCAGAUGUUGCCUUGAAGAGUCACUGGACUCAUGUCUUGACAUGCCAGAAAGUUCAAAGGCAUCCGGACAGGGGCCAGCCCAGCACUUUUCCUGCUCCCACUUACACGGAAGUGCAUUGCUGUUACUCAGAGAAAAAAAAAAUUUAACACUGAUUAAAAUGUUUUGUGUGUAUUUGUUUUUUUCCCAGCUUUAGUGUAAUUGACAAAUACAAUUGUAGGAUACACAAAGUGUGUAUAGUGGUGAUGUAUAUAUGCAUGGUGAAAGGAUUCCUCCCAUCUAGUUAGUUAAUGCAUCCAUCACCAAUACUGACUUUUCUUUUUUAAGACUUUUAUUUUAAGUAAUCUUUACACCCAAUGUAGGGCUUGAACCUGCAACCCCAAGAUCGAGACUCACACACUACCAACUGAGCCAGCCAGGCACCCUAACCGAUGCUGACUUUUAAAAAGACUGUGGGAAUUCAAUCUUUUCAUAUCUUAUGUUGUCAUGAAGAAGAGUUACAAGGUUGACCACUGUGACCAGAAUUAGACUUCAUAAAAUUGAAUUCUGAAACAACUGGAUGCUGGAAUUAAUAGAGAAGGGACUUCCUUGGCUUGGUUCUCUGCCAGUUUCCUGCGGGGUUGUUGAAAAGGUUAAAUGCAAGCACACUCACCAGGACGGGCUACUUACUUUGCAGAAACCAGUACAAAAUGAAAAUACAGGGGCCUGUGUUCCAAAAUCGUUAAGAAGUCCAAGGCUGGAACAGCCAAACAUUCAACCAAGCACGGGACCCUGCUGAGCAUAGGGCCUGUACAAGCUCACAGGCUGCGCGCCCCGGAAGCCGGCCUUGGAAGGAGCACAGCGUCUGCACACAGCAGGUGCUACAUAAACCCUCUUCACCUUUGUGUCAGCAUCCUCCUACACCUCCGGCGCGCCAGCGCCGUAACGUUGACCAUACCACUGACCACUCGUUGUCACUUGUGCCUGCCCGGCAGAAGGACAAGACCUGGAAUCACGCCCGUGGGGCAGCCCCACGGCGAAGACCCGGGACCCCCAGCCUUUUGGCGAGUGUCUGCCGCUCAACCAAGCCUAGGCCAGACGGGGCCGCCAGGGCCUCCGAGGCCGCCGCAGGACGCAGUCCGCAGGAUCUGGGUCUGUCCCGCGGCCC